GCGGAGCAUGCGGAUUAAUUCGAUGCAACGCGGAGAACCUUACCAAGGCUUGACAUGGACCGGACCGGGCUGGAAACAGUCCUUCCCCUUUGGGGCUGGUUCACAGGUGGUGCAUGGUUGUCGUCAGCUCGUGUCGUGAGAUGUUGGGUUAAGUCCCGCAACGAGCGCAACCCUCGUUCUAUGUUGCCAGCACGUGAUGGUGGGGACUCACAGGAGACUGCCGGGGUCAACUCGGAGGAAGGUGGGGACGACGUCAAAUCAUCAUGCCCCUUAUGUCUUGGGCUUCACGCAUGCUACAAUGGCCGGUACAAAGGGUUGCGAUACUGUGAGGUGGAGCUAAUCCCAAAAAGCCGGUCUCAGUUCGGAUUGGGGUCUGCAACUCGACCCCAUGAAGUCGGAGUCGCUAGUAAUCGCAGAUCAGCAACGCUGCGGUGAAUACGUUCCCGGGCCUUGUACACACCGCCCGUCAAGUCACGAAAGUUGGUAACACCCGAAGCCGGUGGCCUAACCCCUUGUGGGAGGGAGCUGUCGAAGGUGGGACUGGCGAUUGGGACU
rnacentral:rRNA from 1 species